rnacentral:rRNA from 1 species
UUGCCGGCGACCGGCGCACGGGUGAGUAACGCGUAUCCAACCUUCCGUACACUCAGGGAUAGCCUUUCGAAAGAAAGAUUAAUACCUGAUGGUAUGAUGAGAUUGCAUGAUAGCAUCAUUAAAGAUUUAUCGGUGUACGAUGGGGAUGCGUUCCAUUAGGUAGUAGGCGGGGUAACGGCCCACCUAGCCAACGAUGGAUAGGGGUUCUGAGAGGAAGGUCCCCCACAUUGGAACUGAGACACGGUCCAAACUCCUACGGGAGGCAGCAGUGAGGAAUAUUGGUCAAUGGACGAGAGUCUGAACCAGCCAAGUAGCGUGAAGGAUGAAGGUCUUACGGAUUGUAAACUUCUUUUAUAAGGGAAUAAAACCUCCCACGUGUGGGAGCUUGUAUGUACCUUAUGAAUAAGCAUCGGCUAACUCCGUGCCAGCAGCCGCGGUAAUACGGAGGAUGCGAGCGUUAUCCGGAUUUAUUGGGUUUAGAGGGAGCGCAGACGGGUCGUUAAGUCAGCUGUGAAAGUUUGGGGCUCAACCUUAAAAUUGCAGUUGAUACUGGCGUCCUUGAGUGCGGUUGAGGUGUGCGGAAUUCGUGGUGUAGCGGUGAAAUGCUUAGAUAUCACGAAGAACUCCGAUUGCGAAGGCAGCACACUAAGCCGUAACUGACGUUCAUGCUCGAAAGUGUGGGUAUCAAACAGGAUUAGAUACCCUGGUAGUCCACACGGUAAACGAUGGAUACUCGCUGUUGGCGAUAUACGGUCAGCGGCUUAGCGAA